rnacentral:rRNA from 1 species
CACGUAGGGGCCAAGCGUUGUCCGGAUUUAUUGGGCGUAAAGAGCUCGUAGGCGGUUCGACAAGUCGGGUGUGAAAACUCCGGGCUCAACCCGGAGACGCCACCCGAUACUGUCGUGACUGGAGUCCGGUAGGGGAGUGGGGAAUUCCUGGUGUAGCGGUGAAAUGCGCAGAUAUCAGGAGGAACACCCGUAGCGAAGGCGGCACUCUGGGCCGGAACUGACGCUGAGGAGCGAAAGCGUGGGGAGCGAACAGG